GCGCCUGUAGCUCAGCUGGAUAGAGUACUGCCCUCCGAAGGCAGGGGUCGUGGGUUCGAAUCCCGCCAGGCGCGCCA
rnacentral:tRNA from 1 species